CUCUGUUGUUAGGGAAGAACAAGUGCGAGAGUAACUGCUCGCACCAUGACGGUACCUAACCAGAAAGCCACGGCUAACUACGUGCCAGCAGCCGCGGUAAUACGUAGGUGGCAAGCGUUGUCCGGAAUUAUUGGGCGUAAAGGGCUCGCAGGCGGUUUCUUAAGUCUGAUGUGAAAGCCCCCGGCUCAACCGGGGAGGGUCAUUGGAAACUGGGAAACUUGAGUGCAGAAGAGGAGAGUGGAAUUCCACGUGUAGCGGUGAAAUGCGUAGAGAUGUGGAGGAACACCAGUGGCGAAGGCGACUCUCUGGUCUGUAACUGACGCUGAGGAGCGAAAGCGUGGGGAGCGAACAGGAUUAGAUACCCUGGUAGUCCACGCCGUAAACGAUGAGUGCUAAGUGUUAGGGGGUUUCCGCCCCUUAGUGCUGCAGCUAACGCAUUAAGCACUCCG
rnacentral:rRNA from 1 species